rnacentral:lncRNA from 1 species
GGGAGGCGCCCGUCCUCCUCGCGCUGCCGCCCCGUCCACGUCCUCCACAGUACACAAUGGCCCCAGAGGAAGGCCCGCUCGCAGCACGUCAGAAAGGAAUUGGACUCGGAGAGAAAUGAGGGGCCUGGACUCUCCCGGGAACGAAAGUGGAAACGGGAAAGGAAAUGGACGAAGGGAUGCAAGGCACGAAGGAGCUAACCAAUAAGGGGUGGCAGUUACCUGUGGACAACCAGGGUUUGAAAAUAGAACACAGGAUCAAGCUUGCAACCAUGAAUAUGAAAGACUAUAUGUUUAAGAUGGUGGGAGCAGAAAAACAGGAGCCUGGGGAAUUGACAACAUCAUGAAUAUGCUGCACCAUUCUGGACCACUGCAGUCAGAUAACUCCUUAUAUGAGAAAAAUGGGUAACCUACUGGAUUAAGCACCUAUAGGUCGUGUUCUCUGUUGAAUGUAACCAAAAACAAACCUAAUUAAUUCAAAACUCUGUAGAAUUACAAGUAUUAGGAACCUUGAUAUUUGAUUAUUUGGUUAAGACCAAUAAAAGAAUGAAAGAUGAUAAUAUGUACAAAUGGAAAAGAAAAAUAAUAUGUGUGUGUUCUCUUAAACAUCUUCCAGUACAAGUUAUAACUUCAGCAAUUUUGAAAAUUUUUAGUGAUUCUAAAAUAAUGUGUUUUUAAUGACCAAAAGCAGGCUGCUAAUUCAUCAAGUAAAUAGUAAACUUGUUCCUACUUUGCUCAAAUAUGAAGCUGACUGAUAGAAAUCAUCAAAGUCCUUGGGUUAAAAUUGUUCAAAUUAGAAGUAUUGGUGUAUAAAGAAAAUUGACUUUUUACUAGGUUUGGUAAUUAUCCCUUCACAUGAUAGAAACAUAUGAUACAGCAAUUGAAUUUUUAGUGUUUGUGUUACAAGCAGUAUUUGAAAACAUUUACUAAUCAACAAAUUUAUAUAUGAAAAAAGCAGGAUUGACUAUAAAAAGGAAAAUUAAUUAUUGUUUCAUGAUACAUCCAACAUUACUUUUUAAAAUAAAAUAUUUAUUCUGUGAUCUAUAUUUAAAUACACACUACCUUUUGAUAUUAUAUGUAAGUGAAAAUUAUCAUUUCUAAUGAAAAAUUAGAGUGAGAUUCAAUUUCUACCAUAAGAAAGUCCUUUCAUAAAAAAUAUUCUGGAACAUUUCCUGUGCCUAUUUCCUCAUGUAUAAUAUAGUUACAAGAACAUUUCUUAGCCCAUAGAGUUGUUGAAUUAUAUAUAUUAAGCACAUCAAAUAAUAUAAUAUCUUUCUUAAAGUAAGCAAAUAUUAAUAAAAGAUUGUUAUUAUCAUUGUUAGGGAGGUAGAUAUGAUGAUAUAGCCACCAAAAUUUACAUUUUCCUUCUGUAAUAUUGAGUUUUUGCUGGGAAGUGGCUUCCUAGCCUGGGACUGUAAACUACUCUUGCAACACAAUGGGUUGUGUGAUUAGUUGUUGCUUGUGGAAUGUGAGUGGCAGUGGUAUACACGGUAUCACUUCUGGGCAAAUGUAUUUACAAAGUAUGUAGAUGUACCUUCCCUAUGCUCUUUUCUCCCAUUUGUCAAAUAUAUGUGGAGGAGCUCCAAGACCUUAUGAGAUGAAGCGACAAAAGGAAAGAACCCUAGGUCCUUGAAUCACCAUAUAUUGGAAAGUCACUUACACAGGGAUGAUUAACACCAGAAUCAGAGUGUGACAUAAGUAAGAAACAAAAUUCUAUGAUGUGAAAAAACUACAAUGUUAAUGUUAACUUGUUAUUUGUUAGUCAAUUGUCUAAAUGUUUUAUAAGUGAU